UACAGAGGGGGCAAGCGUUGUUCGGAAUUACUGGGCGUAAAGGGCGCGUAGGCGGCCUUCUAAGUCGAACGUGAAAUCCCCGGGCUCAACCCGGGAACUGCGUCCGAUACUGGAAGGCUUGAAUCCGGGAGAGGAUGCGGAAUUCCGAGGUGUAGCGGUGAAAUGCGUAGAUAUCUGGAGGAACACCGGUGGCGAAGGCGGCAUCCUGGACCGGCAUUGACGCUGAGGCGCGAAAGCCAGGGGAGCAAACGGG
rnacentral:rRNA from 1 species